GACGAACGCUGGCGGCGUGCUUAACACAUGCAAGUCGAACGAAGUGGCGAACGGGUGAGUAACGCGUAAUCAACCUGCCCUUCAGAGGGGGACAACAGUUGGAAACGACUGCUAAUACAGCAUACUGUAGGCAGUGAUUGCGGUGGAUUAGCUAGUUGGCGGGGUAACGGCCCACCAAGGCGAUGAUUAUCAGCCGGUGUGAGAGGAUGAACGGCCACAUUGGGACUGGGACACGGCCCAGACUCCUACGGGAGGCAGCAGUGGGGAAUCUUCCGCAAUGGACGAAAGUCUGACGGAGCAACGCCGCGUGAGUGAUGACGGCCUUCGGGUUGUAAAGCUCUGUUAAUCGGGACGCGGUACCGGAAUAGAAAGCCACGGCUAACUCCGUGCCAGCAGCCGCGGUAAUUC
rnacentral:rRNA from 1 species